AUUCUGGUUGGGCAUGAUUUCGGUGGUACAUGCAUAUCAUAUGCUAUGGAAAUGUUCCCGUCGAAGGUCGCCAAAGCUGUUUUCAUCUCUGCAGCUAUGCUGGCAAAUGGCCAAAGUACUCUCGACAUGUUCUCUCAAAAGGACGGCACUGAUUAUCUGAUGGGCCAGGCUCAGAUUUUUGUAUAUGCGAACGGGAAGGAUUCUCCCCCGACUUCCAUUGAUCUCGACAGAUCAUUGCUAAAAGAGUUGCUGUUUAAUCAGAGUCCUGUAAAGGAUGUUGCGCUGGCAUCGGUUUCCUUGAGGUCGAUUCCUUUUGCGCCGGUACUCGAGAAGCUCUCGCUCACCGACAAGAACUAUGGCUCAGUUAGGCGAUUCUACAUCGAGA
rnacentral:misc_RNA from 1 species